rnacentral:rRNA from 1 species
UACGUAGGAGGCGAGCGUUGUCCGGAGUUACUGGGCGUAAAGGGUGCGCAGGCGGCGGUUCGCGUGGCGAGAUGAAAUCUCCUGGCUUACCUGGGAGGGUGUCGCCAGACGGGAUCGCUUGAGGGUCGGAGAGGGGCGUGGAAUUCCGGGUGGAGCGAUGAAAUGCGUAGAGAUCCGGAGGAACACCGACGGCGUAGGCAGCGCCCUGGACGACACCGUGACGCUGAGCACGAAAGCUGGGGAGGCGAACAGG